rfam:Triticum aestivum genome assembly, contig: Triticum_aestivum_CS42_TGACv1_scaffold_578688_7BL
AUAGUACUCCCUCCGUUUCAAAUAUAUGACUUCCAUUUAUUAAAAUAUAGAUGUAUCUAGACAUGUUUUAGUAUAUAGGUACAUCCAUUUUUGAACAAAUGAAAGUCAAGUAAUUUUGAACGGAGUGAGUACAUG